rnacentral:rRNA from 1 species
UUCGGGGGAGCCUUAGUACAGGUGUUGCAUGGCUGUCGUCAGCUCGUGUCGUGAGAUGUUCGGUUAAGUCCGCUAACGAGCGCAACCCUCGUCGUAUGUUAUAUGUGUCAUACGAGACUGCCGGUAAAAGCCGGAGGAAGGUGAGGAUGAUGUCAAGUCAGCAUGACCUUUAUAUCCAGGGCUACACACACGCUACAAUGGUCUGUACAAUGGGUAGCCAAGCCGCGAGGCGGAGCCAAUCCUGAAAGCAGGCCUCAGUUCAGAUUGCAGUCUGCAACUCGACUGCAUGAAGCCGGAGUUGCUAGUAACCGCAGGUCAGCAAUACUGCGGUGAAUACGUUCCCGGGUCUU